GACGAACGCUGGCGGCGUGCCUAACACAUGCAAGUCGAGCGAUGAAACCCUUCGGGGUGGGUUAGCGGCGGACGGGUGAGUAACACGUGGGUAACCUGCCUCAAAGAGGGGGAUAGCCUCCCGAAAGGGAGAUUAAUACCGCAUAAUAUUAGUUUUUCGCAUGAAGAACUAAUUAAAGGAGUAAUCCGCUUUGAGAUGGACCCGCGGCGCAUUAGCUAGUUGGUGAGGUAAAGGCUCACCAAGGCGACGAUGCGUAGCCGACCUGAGAGGGUGAUCGGCCACAUUGGAACUGAGACACGGUCCAGACUCCUACGGGAGGCAGCAGUGGGGAGUAUUGCACAAUGGGCGAAAGCCUGAUGCAGCAACGCCGCGUGAGUGAUGAAGGCCUUCGGGUUGUAAAGCUCUGUCUUUUGGGACGAUAAUGACGGUACCAAAGGAGGAAGCCACGGCUAACUACGUGCCAGCAGCCGCCGUAAGAC
rnacentral:rRNA from 1 species